rnacentral:rRNA from 1 species
UCCGGUUGAUCCUGCCGGACCUGACUGCUAUCGGAUUGAUACUAAGCCAUGCGAGUCAUUGUAGCAAUACAAGGCAUACGGCUCAGUAACGCGUAGUCAACCUAACCUAUGGACGGGAAUAACCUCGGGAAACUGAGAAUAAUGCCCGAUAGAACAUUAUGCCUGGAAUGGUUUAUGUUCCAAAUGAUUUAUCGCCGUAGGAUGGGACUGCGGCCUAUCAGUUUGUUGGUGAGGUAAUGGCCCACCAAGACUAUUACAGGUACGGGCUCUGAGAGGAGUAGCCCGGAGAUGGGUACUGAGACACGGACCCAGGCCCUAUGGGGCGCAGCAGGCGAGAAAACUUUGCAAUGUGCGAAAGCACGACAAGGUUAAUCCGAGUGGUUUCUGCUAAAGAAACCUUUUGUCAGUCCUAGAAACACUGAUGAAUAAGGGGUGGGCAAGUUCUGGUGUCAGCCGCCGCGGUAAAACCAGCACCUCAAGUGGUCAGGAUGAUUAUUGGGCCUAAAGCAUCCGUAGCCGGCUCUGUAAGUUUUCGGUUAAAUCUGUACGCUCAACGUACAGGCUGCCGGGAAUACUGCAGAGCUAGGGAGUGGGAGAGGUAGACGGUACUCGGUAGGAAGGGGUAAAAUCCUUUGAUCUAUUGAUGACCACCUGUGGCGAAGGCGGUCUACCAGAACACGUCCGACGGUGAGGGAUGAAAGCUGGGGGAGCAAACCGGAUUAGAUACCCGGGUAGUCCCAGCUGUAAACUAUGCAAACUCAGUGAUGCAUUGGCUUGUGGCCAAUGCAGUGCUGCAGGGAAGCCGUUAAGUUUGCCGCCUGGGAAGUACGUACGCAAGUAUGAAACUUAAAGGAAUUGGCGGGGGAGCACCACAAGGGGUGAAGCCUGCGGUUCAAUUGGAGUCAACGCCAGAAAUCUUACCCGGAGAGACAGCAGAAUGAAGGUCAAGCUGAAGACUUUACCAGACAAGCUGAGAGGUGGUGCAUGGCCGUCGCCAGCUCGUGCCGUGAGAUGUCCUGUUAAGUCAGGUAACGAGCGAGAUCCCUGCCUCUAGUUGCCACCAUUACUCUCAGGAGUAGUGGGGCGAAUUAGCGGGACCGCCGCAGUUAAUGCGG